rnacentral:rRNA from 1 species
CUUUCUUUGCUGGCGACCGGCGCACGGGUGAGUAACACGUAUCCAACCUGCCCUUUACUCGGGAAUAGCCUUUCGAAAGAAAGAUUAAUACCCGAUAGCAUAAUGAUUCCGCAUGGUUUCAUUAUUAAAGGAUUCCGGUAAAGGAUGGGGAUGCGUUCCAUUAGGUUGUUGGUGAGGUAACGGCCCACCAAGCCUUCGAUGGAUAGGGGUUCUGAGAGGAAGGUCCCCCACAUUGGAACUGAGACACGGUUCAA